AUCUGUAACCAUAACAUCUUCAUGCCUUAUAUAUCAUGUACUGUAGUACGCCGCUAGAUUAAAACUGACGUGGAAAGGUAACACAUGCCCACCGAAAGCUCUUUUUUAGAGAGCCCAGGUGGUCGUGUGGUCUAGCGGGACGGCUGCAGUGCAGGCGAUUUGGUGUCACGAUAUCACAGUAGCAUGGGUUCGAAUCCCGGCGAGGGAAGAACCAAAAAUUUGCGAAAGCAAAUUUACA
rnacentral:lncRNA from 1 species